rnacentral:lncRNA from 1 species
AGACAUGCGUAGUGCUCCCCUUGGUCCAGCGCGGGAAGCUCCCUCGUGAGUGUCCGAAACUAUUAGCUCACUCACUGCCUCAUGUGAAGAUUAACUCUUAAGUACUCCACAACUACACGCUUUUGAAACUGGCGUUGGCAUAGCGUUAGUUCUGUGCAGGGCGGACGCAGCAGGACAGAAUCUCCCUGGGCAUCUUUUCGGAGCAUCAAUUUUACUGCAAAAUUUUGAAAAAACAAAUUUAAUUGAUUUCCAAGGAGCUUCUGUCACUGCAGAACCAGGGUCACCUGUGGAAAAUCCUUGCUGAAGCCAUCUCCCUGUCUGCCUGUCCCUCAGGCCCAGGAGUCAUGAGUCCUUUCUCCAAUAAGUCAUUCAGUUGGCUGGCAGCAAACCCUGGUUUGUCAAGGAGGACAGAAACUCAGAGCACCCUGCACUUGGGGAUCGGCACUAGGAGCUGCUCUCUGGAUGGGGAGAUGGGAGCUAGCAGCUCACAAUGGGGUCACAAGAUGCAUGGUGAAUAUUUGAUGUUUUAGAACAAAAAUGUAUUUACAAAUCUCAUUUGAUGCAGACAUCUGAAAAUACUCAGAAGUUACAAGAAUUCAUAAAAUACCCACCAAAGCUAAUAGAAAACAUGGAACCUUCCAGGACAAGAAGUAAAUUAAAAGAACAACCCAGAGGAGUAAUCAAAGUGAGAAGCCAGUGCCGCCUCCAGGUACUGGAUGAUCACAGGGACCUCAGGCUUUGGGGAUUAUUCAACUACCUUCUUGGAAUAAACAACAAAAAAAGUAC